GCUACACCGGCAGGUUCUGGCCAACACCACCAACAGCAUCGUGUUGCCUGAAUCCCAAGGAGAUAAAGGGCUGAAUGCUAAUAACUUCCAAAGAAACCACGGCAUAGCAUGGAAAAACAGGUCUCCAAAGGAAAUGGGAGGAUCUGGUUAGCAAACGUGCCAUUGCAACCAUCUAGCCUUAAUUCAGAGCUUGUGAUCUCUCUCCCAGAGCAGAAACACGAGGCUUUCACCAACCUGUCUACAGGGAUAGACUUCCCAUGACAGAGGCUGUGGAAGUGACAAAGCAGUGGAAGACGGGAGUGAAAAUCCAUGCCAGCUUUCAUGGAAUUAUUAAGCCAUGAUUCCAGAAGCAUGAUUCCAGAUGGACCCCUAAGCAGACGGACAAGGCACAAAUUGCAUUUCACUACAGAACUUCUGUCCUGCCUGCAUCAGGACAAAGGGUUGGGAUGCACAGACUAAAGAGUAUGGCUUAACUCUGAGCCAGUUUCAGAGUUGUAACUGAAGUCUCAUUUCACCACAGGUGGGAGAAAGUUAUAUGGAAAGAGAGGAAAAUGGUGCACACCGAAUCUAAGUGCUCACUCUGUGCUCACAUUGAUUUCCAGCUGUCCUCUAAAAUUAUAGAGAGGAUAUUUGUUUGCAUUGCCUGAGCAGAGUAGCAUUUGCAGAAUAGAGGCCUCUUUUACGGUGAUGGACAUAGGCUAAAAAGGUGACUGCUUCAGGACAUUGCUGUUGUGUGAAUCAAAGCGGUGGUAAUGAAAAUUGUUUUUCUUUUAAUUAGAACAGUCACUGCUGGCAACCGCUCCAGUCUUAUCUAAGAAUUUUUCAGCUGGUAGCUACAUCCUUGUGAAAAGU